rnacentral:rRNA from 1 species
AUUGAACGCUGGCGGAAUGCUUUACACAUGCAAGUCGAACGGCAGCACGGACUUCGGUCUGGUGGCGAGUGGCGAACGGGUGAGUAAUACAUCGGAACGUGCCAAAUCGUGGGGGAUAACGUAGCGAAAGCUACGCUAAUACCGCAUACGAUCUAAGGAUGAAAGCGGGGGAUCGCAAGACCUCGCGCGAUUGGAGCGGCCGAUAUCAGAUUAGGUAGUUGGUGGGGUAAAGGCCCACCAAGCCAACGAUCUGUAGCUGGUCUGAGAGGACGACCAGCCACACUGGAACUGAGACACGGUCCAGACUCCUACGGGAGGCAGCAGUGGGGAAUUUUGGACAAUGGGCGAAAGCCUGAUCCAGCCAUUCCGCGUGCAGGAUGAAGGCCCUCGGGUUGUAAACUGCUUUUGUACAGGACGAAAAGGUUUCUACUAAUACUAGGAGCUCAUGACGGUACUGUAAGAAUAAGCACCGGCUAACUACGUGCCAGCCGCCGCAGUAA